UACGGAGGAUGCAAGCGUUAUCCGGAAUCACUGGGUUUAAAGGGUGCGUAGGCGGUUUUAUAAGUCAGAGGUGAAAUACUUGAGCUCAACUGAAGGAUUGCCUUUGAAACUGUAGGACUUGAAUUAGGAUGAGGUAAGCGGAAUGUGACAUGUAGCGGUGAAAUGCAUAGAUAUGUCAUAGAACACCGAUUGCGAAGGCAGCUUACUAGACCUUGAUUGACGCUGAGGCACGAAAGCGUGGGGAGCGAACAGG
rnacentral:rRNA from 1 species